AGAUUGAACGCUGGCGGCAUGCCUUACACAUGCAAGUCGAACGGCAGCACGGGAGCAAUCCUGGUGGCGAGUGGCGAACGGGUGAGUAAUAUAUCGGAACGUGCCCAGUCGUGGGGGAUAACGUAGAGAAAUUUACGCUAAUACCGCAUACGAUCCAAGGAUGAAAGCGGGGGACCGUAAGGCCUCGCGCGACUGGAGCGGCUGAUAUCAGAUUAGCUUGUUGGUGAGGUAAAAGCUCACCAAGGCGACGAUCUGUAGCUGGUUUGAGAGAACGACCAGCCACACUGGGACUGAGACACGGCCCAGACUCCUACGGGAGGCAGCAGUGGGGAAUUUUGGACAAUGGGCGAAAGCCUGAUCCAGCAAUGCCGCGUGCAGGAAGAAGGCCU
rnacentral:rRNA from 1 species